rnacentral:rRNA from 1 species
UACGAAGGGGGCUAGCGUUGCUCGGAAUCACUGGGCGUAAAGCGCACGUAGGCGGCUUUUUAAGUCAGGGGUGAAAUCCUGGAGCUCAACUCCAGAACUGCCUUUGAUACUGAGAAGCUUGAGUCCGGGAGAGGUGAGUGGAACUGCGAGUGUAGAGGUGAAAUUCGUAGAUAUUCGCAAGAACACCAGUGGCGAAGGCGGCUCACUGGCCCGGUACUGACGCUGAGGAGCGAAGGCGUGGGGAGCGAACAGG